UUUUUUUUUGCGGCCUAUUAAGGUAAUACAAAGCAUCCAAGGUAAUGCUAAAUCUAGGUGUAGCAACAGGUUUCUUCAGUUGGCUCCUGUUAUUUAAGUGUUCAGUUUACAGUAUCCAUUUCCCAAAGCCCAACUGAGACUACCCAGUCAGCUUGAUCUGCAUAUGAAUCAUUUAAUGGAAUACUGAGAUAAUCUGUGUGAUUCUUUUGACAUAUGUCAGCAUCUUCAAUAACAAAGAAAACAUAGACUAUACUAAUUGAUUUGCUGAAGACCACUACAUUGGUCUUCCUAGGGUGUAUUGCUUCUAUCUUAUAAGAAGUGUCUUGUAUGUAAAGUUUAUAUUAUACAUUGUAGUUUAUCAGCAUCUGUUGACAGAAGAGCAAUGUCGUCUGCACAUGUUGGCCACCA
rnacentral:lncRNA from 1 species